CAGCCGCCGCGGGAAUACGGAGGGUGCAAGCGUUACUCGGAAUCACUGGGCGUAAAGGACGCGUAGGCGGAUGAUCAAGUCACUUGUGAAAUCUAACGGCUUAACCGUUAAACUGCUUGGGAAACUGAUAAUCUAGAGUAAGGGAGAGGCAGAUGGGAUUCUUGGUGUAGGGGUAAAAUCCGUAGAGAUCAAGAAGAAUACCCAUUGCGAAAGCGUUCUGCUGGAACUUAACUGACGCUAAUGCGUGAAAGCGUGGGGAGCAAACAGGAUUAGAUACCCCAGUAGUCCCUGUCUCUUAUAA
rnacentral:rRNA from 1 species